rnacentral:snRNA from 1 species
GUACCUUUCUCAUAGAAACUUUUUCCCAGGGCGAGGCUCCUUCUUUGCACUGCAGGAGUGCUGACCCCUGCAAUUUCCACUCGACUGCAUAAUUUAUGGUAAUGGGGGACUAUGUUCACACUUUCCCUCG